rnacentral:rRNA from 1 species
AUUGAACGCUGGCGGCAGGCCUAACACAUGCAAGUCGAACGGUAACAGGAAGCAGCUUGCUGCUUUGCUGACGAGUGGCGGACGGGUGAGUAAUGUCUGGGAAACUGCCCGAUGGAGGGGGAUAACUACUGGAAACGGUAGCUAAUACCGCAUAACGUCGCAAGACCAAAGAGGGGGACCUUAGGGCCUCUUGCCAUCGGAUGUGCCCAGAUGGGAUUAGCUAGUAGGUGGGGUAACGGCUCACCUAGGCGACGAUCCCUAGCUGGUCUGAGAGGAUGACCAGCCACACUGGAACUGAGACACGGUCCAGACUCCUACGGGAAGCAGCAGUGGGGAAUAUUGCACAAUGGGCGCAAGCCUGAUGCAGCCAUGCCGCGUGUAUGAAGAAGGCCUUCGGGUUGUAAAGUACUUUCAGCGGGGAGGAAGGGAGUAAAGUUAAUACCUUUGCUCAUUGACGUUACCCGCAGAAGAAGCACCGGCUAACUCCGU